rnacentral:misc_RNA from 1 species
CCAAUAGCGUAUAUUAAAGUUGUUGUGGUUAAAAAGCUCGUAGUUGAACCUUGGGCCUGGCUGGCCGGUCCGCCUCACCGCGUGUACUGGUCCGGCCGGGCCUUUCCCUCUGUGGAACCUCAUGCCCUUCACUGGGUGUGACGGGGAAGCAGGACUUUUACUGUGAAAAAAUUAGAGUGCUCCAAGCAGGCCUAUGCUCGAAUACAUUAGCAUGGAAUAAUGAAAUAGGACGUGCGGUUCUAUUUUGUUGGUUUCUAGGACCGCCGUAAUGAUUAAUAGGGACAGUCGGGGGCAUCAGUAUUCAAUUGUCAGAGGUGAAAUUCUUGGAUUUAUUGAAGACGAACUACUGCGAAAGCAUUCGCCAAGGAUGUUUUCAUUAAUCAGUGAACGAAAGUUAGGGGAUCGAAGACGAUCAGAUACCGUCGUAGUCUUAACCAUAAACUAUGCCGACUAGGGAUCGGAUGAUGUUAAUUUUAUAAUGACUCAUUCGGCGCCUUACG